rnacentral:rRNA from 1 species
GAAGGUGGGGAUGACGUCAAAUCAUCAUGCCCCUUAUGAUUUGGGCUACACACGUGCUACAAUGGACAAUACAAAGGGCAGCGAAACCGCGAGGUCAAGCAAAUCCCAUAAAGUUGUUCUCAGUUCGGAUUGUAGUCUGCAACUCGACUAUAUGAAGCUGGAAUCGCUAGUAAUCGUAGAUCAGCAUGCUACGGUGAAUACGUUCCCGGGUCUUGUACACACCGCCCGUCACACCACGAGAGUUUGUAACACCCG